GUGUAUGCAGUGUCUGUAGAGUGUGUAUGCAGUGUGUGUAUAGUGUGUGUGUGCAGUGUAUGCAGUGUGUGUGGUGUGUAUGCAGUGUGUGUAUAGUGUGCAGUGUGUGUGCAGUGUGUGUAGAGUGUAUGCAGUGUGUGUAGUGUGUAUGCAGUGUAUGUAGAGUGUAUGCAGUGUAUGCAGUGUGUGUAGAGUGUAUGCAGUGUAUGCAGUGUGUGUAGAGUGUAUGCAGUGUGUGUAGUGUGAAUGCAGUGUGUAUGCUGUGUAUGUAGAGUGUGUGUAGAGUGUAUGCAGUGUGUGUAGAGUGUAUGCAAUGUAUGCAGUGUGUAUGCAGUGUGUGUAGAGUGAAUGCAGUGUGUAUGCUGUGUAUGCAGUGUAUGUAGAGUGUGUGUAGAGUGUAUGCAGUGUAUGUAGAGUGUGUAGAGUGUAUGCAGUAUGUGUAGUGUAUGCAGUGUGUGUAGUGUGUAUGCAGUGUGUGUAGAGUGAAUGCAGUGUGUAUGCUGUGUAUGCAGUGUAUGUAGAGUGUGUGUAGAGUGUAUGCAGUGUGUGUAGUGUGUGUGUAGUGUGUGUGUAGAGUGUAUGCAGUGUAUGUAGAGUGUAUGCAGUGUGUGUAGAGUGUAUGCAGUGUAUGUAGAGUGUGUGUAGAGUGUAUGCAGUGUAUGUAGAGUGUGUGUAGCGUGUAUGCAGUGUAUGCAGAGUGUAUGCAGUGUGUGUAGAGUGUAUGCAGUGUGUGUAGUGUGUAUGCAGUGUGUGUAGAGUGAAUGCAGUGUGUAUGCUGUGUAUGCAGUGUAUGUAGAGUGUGUGUAGUGUGUAGAGUGUAUGCAGUGUAUGCAGUGUGUGUAGAGUGUAUGCAGUGUGUGUAGUGUGUAUGCAGUGUGUGUAGAGUGAAUGCAGUGUGUAUGCUGUGUAUGCAGUGCAUGCAGUGUGUGUAGAGUGUAUGCAGUGUAUGCAGUGUGUGUAGAGUGUAUGCAGUGUGUGUAGAGUGUAUGCAGUGUGUGUAGAGUGAUUGCAGUGUGUAUGCUGUGUAUGCAGUGUAUGUAGAGUGUGUGUAGAGUGUAUGCAGUGUAUGUAGAGUGAAUGCAGUGUGUGUAGAGUGUAUGCAGUGUGUGUAGUGUGUAUGCAGUGUAUGUAGAGUGUGUGUAGAGUGUAUGCAGUGUGUAGAGUGUAUGCAGUGUGUGUAGUGUGUAUGCAGUGUGUGUAGAGUGAAUGCAGUGUUGCC